rnacentral:lncRNA from 1 species
AAAUAUAUGAGAAAGAAGACUCGGGGGCCGUAGGUUUCACCAGUGGCUUCUCUCAAGAAAAAUAGCAAACGGUGGGUAAACAAAUUACUGUUGGGCAAUUGAUAGAACCUCAAAUAAUUAUGACGAUAUCCAGGCAAUGAUCAUUAUAUAGGUAUCACGUCCAAGAUUAGUAGACCGACUCCUGCCUGCAUCUACUACUAUUACUCCACACAUUGACCGCUAUCCAGCAUGCAUCUAGUGUAUUAAGUUCAUGAAGAAACAAAGUAAUGUAAUAAGAACGAUGACAUGAUGUAGACAAGAUCUAUCUAUCUAGAGAUAGACCCCAUCCUUAGUAGCAACGAUACAUACGUGUUGUUUCCCUUUCUGUCACUGGGAUCAAGCACCGUAAAAUCAAAUCCAGUACAAAGCACCUCUUCCCAUUGCAAGAUAAAUAGAUCAAGUUGCCCAAACAAAACCCAAAUAUCGGAGAAGAAAUACGAGGCUAUAAACAAUCAUGCAUAUAAGAGAUCAAAGAAACUCAUAUAACUUUCAUGGGCAUAAAAAGAUAGAUCGGAUCAUAAACUCAAAGUUCAUCGAUCCCAACAAAUACACCGCAAAAGAGUUACAUCACAUGGAUCUCCAAGAGACCAUUGUAUUGAGAAUCAAGAGAGAGAGAGAGAGAGAGAGAUGAAGCCAUCUCACUACUAACUACGGACCCGAAGGUCUACAAAGAACUACUCACACAUCAUCGGAGAGGCACCAAUGGAGGUGGUGAACCCCAUCCGUGAUGGUGUCUAGAUUUACCCCCUGAGGCGUGGGUUGAGAGUUACGAGAUGGCCAUGGAACUGUUGGAGGUCAGCGAUGCCGCGUGUGCCAAGUACUUUACCAUGAUGGUGGAUGGGACCGCCCGUACUUGGUUAAAGGGACUACCUGCCAACUCCAUCGGGUCAUGGGCCGAGUUAAAAGCCCGAUUUAUCCAGAAUUUUAAGGAUACGUGCAAGCAGCCCAUGUCGAUCGUGGAUUUGGAUGCCUACACCCAAGAGGAGGGCGAGUCAAUGACACAUUGGGUGCGCCGGGUUAAGGCCAUCCUACACUCAUCGGAUAACAUCAAUGUCGGCUCAGCAGUCCUCAUGUUCGAGAAAAACUGUCGUUUUGUGCCUCUUAAACAGAAGUUGGGGCGGCUGAAGCGCCACUGCAAUGAUAUGGGGGAGCUGAUGGCAGCUCUAAUUAAAUAUGUCGACUCUGAUGGUACCAAGGACCCAGUGUCUAAUAAUGACAAACCGGGAAAGGGAAAGAAGAGUGGCAACACUAGAAACCAGCAUCAUAACCCGGUGACUUAGGGGAGUAACGGUAAACGUAAGGCUGAUAAUAAUUCAGAUUUUGUGGCCAAUACCAACACGUAGAACAAUGGUCAGCAUCGUAAAGGAAAGCCACCUCCUCGGGCAGGAGGGUCAGGUAUAAAUCUGGAGUAGAUGUUGAAUCAGCCCUGUCCAAAGCAUGGCUCACGGGACAUGCCAUCUAUGCACCUUUGGAAGGACUGCUACAUUAUGAAGGAGUUCAAAAAUUCCGACUUGUUCCGGUACAAUCAUGGACCAGGUGGCGGCUCAGGUUCCGGUUCUUAUGGUCCGAGUCAUGGUGCUGGCGGCUCUAACUCUGGUUUGCAGGGUCGCCAGGGUAACCAAGGUCACCAGGGAGGUUUUCAUCAACAGCCUGGUCCGGGGAGUCAGCAGCAACAAUCUGGGUAUCAGAGUUACCUGAAGCAGUUGAAUAGUGGGCAGUACCAUGUCUUAACCACAAGUUUAUGCAAGCGGGAUCAGAAGCUUCAUAAAAGGGCAGUGAAUGACGUUGAACUGGCAGUUCCCCGUUACUUGCGCUGGUCAGAGCAACCCAUUGUGUGGAUCCGUGAGGAUCACCCACCCCGGGUUGAUAAUCCGGGUCACCUGGCUUUGGUGGUAGCACCCCAGGUUGGAGGAUAUAAAUUCACCAAAGUACUCAUGGAUGGAGGUAGCAGCAUCAAUAUCCUUUAUUAUGACACCUUCUGUCGCAUGGGGUUAACCGAUAAAAAUCUUAAGCCGUCAAACACUAUUUUUCAUGGUGUGGUGCCUGGUAAGUCGGCAUACCCAGUUGGGAAAAUAGCGAUGGAGGUUGCAUUUUGGGAUGAUCAUGAUUCUAGAUAUGAAACAUUGACCUUUGAAGUAGUGAAGAUCAAGAGCCCUUAUCAUGCUCUAUUUGGACGGCCGGCUUAUGCUAAGUUCAUGGCAAGGCCUUGUUAUGUUUAUCUACAACUCAAAAUGCCAGGUCACAAGGGGACCAUUAUGGUACAUGGAAGCCGGAAGAUAGCUUUGGAGUGUGAGGAAGGUGAUGCAACGCUAUGCUGAGUCGGUCUGCGCAACGAAGGAGUUGAAGUUUUACAAAGACAAUGUUGACCCGGUUGACAUGACAUCUUUGAAAAAACCAACUACGGAGCAUGACCUGGUAUUGAAGUUUAAAUCGACAGAUGAUACCAAGCUAAUUGACUUCGUUCCUGGCGAUUCAUCUAAGCAGUUCAACAUCAGUGCUAAUCUGGAUCCAAAAUAGGAAAGCGCGCUCAUCGAGUUCAUCCGUGAGAACCGGGACAUCUUUGCAUGGAAGCCUUCUCACAUGCCAGGUGUACUGACGGAACUCGUUGAGCACAGUCUUAAUAUUGAUCCAAAGUUUAAGCCGGUGAAGCAGUUUCUCCGUCGUUUUAAUGAAGAGAGGCGAAGGGCCAUUGGUGAAGAAGUGGCCCGGCUCUUGGCAGCCGGGUUCAUUGUUGAAGUUUUUCAUCCUGAGUGGUUUGCUAACCCGGUGCUGGUCCUUAAGAAGAACGACACUUGGUGUAUGUGUGUGGAUUACACGGAUUUAAACAAAGCUUGUCCGGCUGAUCCUUUUGCUCUCCCUCGUAUUGAUCAAAUUAUUGAUGCUACGGCGGGUUGUGAGCGUUUGAGUUUUUUGGAUGCUUAUUAUGGUUAUCAUCAGAUCAAGAUGGCAGUUAAAGACCAGGAGAAGACAACUUUUAUCACUCCCUUUGGAGCCUUCUGUUAUGUGUCUAUGCCUUUUGGGCUCAAGAGUGCCCAGGCGACUUACCAGCAAUGUGUGCAUAAUUGUCUUCAUAAUUAGAUUGGGCGCAAUCUUCAUGCUUAUGUGGAUGAUAUUAUGGUAAAAUCCAGAAAGAAGGAAACCUUGAUAAAUGAUUUGAAGGAGACCUUUGAUAAUCUCAGGGUUUAUAAGAUGAUGCUUAAUCCAGCCAAGUGCGUUUUUGGUGUGCCAGCAGACAAGCUCUUGGGUUUUCUGGUUUCUAAGAGAGGCAUUGAAGAUAACCCACAGAAUAUAAAAUCCAUCACUUCUUUGGCUAAGCCGGCGUGUAUCAAUGAUGUUCAACACUUGGCGGGUCGUAUUGCGGCUCUAAGCCGGUUCAUAAGUCGGCUGGGAGAGAAGGCUAUUAUCGGUGUCAAAACCGGCGGAUCUCGGGUAGGGGGUCCCGAACUGUGCGUCUAGGCCGGAUCGUAACAGGAGGCAGGGGACACGAAGUUUUACCCAGGUUCGGGCCCUCUUGAUGGAGGUAAAACCCUACGUCCUGCUUGAUUAAUAUUGAUGAUAUGGGUAUUACAAGAGUAGAUCUACCACGAGAGAGAGGCUAAACCCUAGAAGCUAGCCUAUGGUAUGAUUGUUGUUCUGUAUGUUGUCCUACGGACUAAAACCCUCUGGUUUAUAUAGACAACGGAGAGGGUUAGGGUUACACAAAGUCGGUUACAAUGGUAGGAGAUCUACAUAGCCGUAUCGCCAAGCUUGCCUUCCACGCCAAGAAAAGUCCCUUCCGGACACGGGACGAAGUCUUCAAUCUUGUAUCUUCAUAGUCCAGGAGUCCGGCUGAAGGUAUUGUCCGGCCAUCCGGACACUCCCUAAUCCAGGACUCCCUCAGUAACCCCUGAACCAGGCUUCAAUGACGACGAGUCUGGCGCGCAGUUUGUCUUCGGCAUUGCAAGGCGGGUUCCUCCUCCAAGUACUUCAUAGAAGAUUUUGAACACAAAGAUAGUGUCCGGCUCUGCAAAAUAAGUUUCCACAUAUUGCCAUAGAGAGAAUAAUAUUUACACAAAUCUAAUCUGCUGACGUAUUCCAUAGUGUGACAUCGCACCACGGCCAAGCCUUUAUUCGAAUUGUUUUAUUGUCCCACCUCAGCGUGUCAUGCGAGGCGGUUUCCUUGGCACGUCUCGUCGAAGCAGAGAUCGUGUCCCCUUAUUCCGGGAUUCUCAUCAAUACGGGCGUGGGUAACCCAACUGCGCCAUUGAUUACGGCGCUUGGAGAUAAGCGAGUUUUACCAGGCUGGUGGGGACACGUAGUUGCGUCCACCCAUAUAAGGGGAUAAGGAUCCACCUUUUCACCUAUGCCUUCUUCCUCCUUCGCCUAUCCAUUUUCGCGCACUUGAGCUCCAGCGCCCAAGUCCGCACUCCCCACCUCAACCUUCUCCAGCCUUGUCCGGAGCGGGAGGCAAGUGGAUGGUCUCCUCCGUCACGGAGGGACACAUCAAAAAACUGAGGAAGGCCAGAUACUUGUCUAACGACAUCGCGUACCGGCUUCCCGAAGAGGGGCAGCUCCUCCCCACCCCAAGGCCCCAUGAGAGGGUAGUGUUCCUUCCCCACUUCCUCCGCGGACCGGGCUUUCCUAUCCACCCAUUCGUCCGAGACUCAUGUUCUACUGCGGCCUGGAUUUCCAUGAUCUGGCCCCGAACUUCAUCCUCAACAUCUCGGCGUUUAUCGUCAUGUGUGAGGCUUUCCUCCAUAUCCGCCCCCAUUUCGGCCUAUGGCUCAAGACUUUCAAUGUCAAGCCGAAGGUGGUGCGCGGCAACCAGGCGGAGUGCGGAGGCGCCAUGGUGGGCAAGAUGCCCAACGUCUUAUGGCUCGAGGGCUCCUUUGUGGAGACCCUGAAGGGGUGGCAAUCGGGGUGGUUUUACAUCACCGAGCCGCGCGACCCUGAGUGGGUCGCAGCCCCUGAGUUCCGGUCCGGACCCCCAACGCGGCUCACGUCCUGGAAAGAGAUGGGCCUGUCGUGGGGCAGCAAAGAAGAGGUGACUGGACUGCAAACAUGCAUCCAAACCCUGGUGAACAAGCAGCUCAAGCUUGUUAACGUAGUCCAGGUUAUGCUCAUCCGUUGGAUCCUCCCGUGUCAACAACGGGCCUUCAAUCUGUGGGAGUUCAACCCAGCACAGCACCGAACUCUGAGCAGGCUCUUCGACACGACGUACGAAGAUGCCUAGAAGGUGCUUUUCAAGGGUGCCGAGGCUCCCGCAUCCGCUUCCGAGGAUCACGGAUUCAGCGCGCAGCGUCACGCUAGCGCGGUAAGUUGUUUGUACCUUUUACAUGGUAUUAGUUUUUCAUAGUUUAACUCUAUGAGGGAUCUAAGCUCCCUUACCUUUGACAGGAUUGGCAGGCGAAGUCCAGACAGAUCGACUGUCCGGCUCCUUUGCCCGAAGACCCAGACGAUGCCCGCUUGGCGAAGCUGCUGGUUCCGGCACCCUAUGUGGUGCCGGAGAAGAAGGCCACGAAGAAGGCCACGAGGACUCGAAAAGUGCCUGGCGCCAGGAGGUGUCGGGUUCAUCAUCCGACGGCUCCAGGGCGCAUUCCUCCCGUGAAGACGAGGAGGAAGAAGAGACCUCUCCCCCUCCAGCGGGGGGGGGGGGAGGGGAGGAAAAGGAAGGCCGCCCUCACUGGGGAGGCCGAAGGGUCCAAGAAGGGGAAAACCCAUCCUCCGGACUACUCCACCAACGCCGACGACGGCAGAGAGGAGUGGCCGCUCAGGGCCAAGCCCCUGGCGAAAUCGUAAGUAUCUGGAUACCAGAGUAAUUCAUAGUAUUCCUUUAUUGCACCACUUUCCCUUAUGUCGAAUAUGUUUAUGCAGCCCACCCAAAGACCGGCUCGACGCGUCGUCGAGCGGUUCACUGGACUCAUCGGAUGUGAAUUCGCUUCCGACGGCUACCUCCCCCCGCCCUACGGACGACGCCGAAGUGUUGUCCCAACAGGUUCCAAGCCAGGAGGAGGUGGUCCUGGAGGCGCCGCAAGGCGACCUCCCGGACUCCAGGAGUAAAGGGGAUAAAACCCCCCAGGGCUCCAAGUCCGGCUCUAGGCCGGACACCGCUCCGGAACCUUCAAAGGUUCCAGAGUCCGGCGAGCGACCUCCUUCCAAGAGGAGCAAGCCCACCGUGCCGGUGACCCCCGUCCAACCGGAGGCGCUGGACAAUCUGUUGGAGGUGCUCAAAGGCGCCUCCAUCGACGAGGAGCACCGCACCAUUAUGAGUGCGGUGGUCCAAAGGGUUCAGUCCGCCAAGAGCGGACUGACUGAAGCUUGUACUAGCCUUUUAACAAGCUUUGAGGUAAGUAAAGAAUGUGUAAAUAAUAUUACCGCAUAGAUAGUAGCCCCUGAUGCUCUGUUUGGCGUUUGGGAAGAAAAGCCGAAUAGAGGAUCAAGUAAAAUUCGCAGGAGUCUAACAAAAAGGAGUCAAUAUGCAUAUGCAGGCUUCUCUGCUGGCGUCCGCCGCACUGACUGCGAAAGUGGACACGCUAAAGCAGAACCUCGAGCAGUCCGAGCAAGAGCUCGGGCGUGCCAAGAAGCAGCUCGAGGACAAGGAAGGUAAGAAAUACCUUGUUUACAUAUAUAUAUAUAUAUAUAUAUAUAUAUAUAUAUAUAUAUAUAUAUAUAUAUAUAAGUGCAAUUGCAAAAAAUGACAGGAUUAUCUUGGCUAUUGUAGGGGCCACGUCUGAGGUGGCGACCCUUAAGCAAGCACCGUCCGAGGCCGAGAAGAGGGCGGCCACGGAGCGCACCGAGCGGGAGAAGUAUGAGGCCCGGGUUGGCAAGGUGCGGCAAGAGCUCCAGGCUCUCAUGAAAAAACAUGAGAGUUUGGAGCUUGACUCAAAGACCCGAGCGUCCGAGCUCGCGGUGGCUACUAAAAAUGCCAAGUCUGCCAAGGCCGAAUCCCAGAAGACCCUCCAGGAGUUGGAUGUGGUGAAAAAUAUAGCGGCGGGUAAGGCAUUCUUUAUGCAAAGCAAACACAUAAAUGUGAGUUACUUGUUACUUACCCGAAUCCGGAGCUCUCCAGGAGCAUUCACAGAUCUUCCCCGUAGCGUGUCCGAUGCCGCCGCAUUCUAUCGAGCCGAGGAGGGCAGCUCAACAGAGAAGGUGCUCUGGUCUCAGUAUGCUGAGGCCGGACACCCCGUGCCCCUGAGCGACCAGCUGAAGCAACUGGUCGAGCUCCACAAAGCGGCCGAACAGGCCAUGAAGGGCCUCAUAGUUCGGCUGUGGCCUGGAGAGGCUCUGCCUGGGAGCUAUUUCGGGCUGGUGCGGCGGCUGGUGGGGGCCUGUCCAAGGCUCGAAGUCAUCAAGCGCUCCGUCUGCAUUGAAGGUGCCCGUAGGGCCCUUGCCCGUGCUAAGGUGCACUGGGGCAAGCUGGAUGCUGAGAAGCUUGUGAAGGACGGGCCACCGCCGGGGAAAGAGCAUCGCAAGCCCGAGAAUUAUUAUAAGGAUGUUCUGAAGGGUGCCCGCCUUAUGGCGAAUGAAUGUUCCAGGGAUGUAAUUUUUGAGUAAAACUCACUCGUUUUGUCAUGUGCGCUGAAAACUUGUUCAUAUGCGCUAAGCAAUGCUGUUGGAAUUUAAAAUAUUACCUUCUGUGCGGCUGUUUAUCAAUUCUGAGAGAUGGCGAGUCGUGGGCUUCUGCCCCCGUGCUGCUAGUGCUGGGGCGUUCGGGGAUAAACCUGAGCGCUCUUUUUCCCAUGUUUGGGUCCUUCGAGGGAGGCGCUCAGCACAACGAACAAGGCAAUCAGACUAUAAUGCGUGAACACUCUCACUUAGCCAUAGAAUUCUAUAAUUUUAAAUUUCGGCGAAGCCCCUGGUAUUCGAAAGACCGAGUUCGGGGCGCUAUCCACGCCUUGGCCGGACAGAGCCGACUCAUCGCUCUAAGCGGCAUAAGUCUUUAGGGACUCGAAAAACCUCUCAAACAGCGACCAACUCUUGAUUCAUCAUGACAGUCAGUUUUAGCUUUCUCUACUGAGGUGCUCGACCCAGCUCAACUGGGGCACAAUCGCAGUAGUUCUCCUAGUGCUACCUUAGCCGACAUAGCGGAACGUAAGGCACCAAAACAUAGGAGCCGGGCAAACCCAACUAUUGACCCAAGACAUGUUUUGGAGCCGAUGCAUAUAAUGCUAUAAGUUCGGGGUGCCGCACUUGUUAAAGUGUCCGGACUUCUCACACCAUAUUGAGGGGUACUAAAGACCCUGGUGUAUUUUGGCCGUACCAAAGUGUACGGGUGCAACAUGUCGUUAAGGAACAUAUAUUUGUAAAAAAAAGAGUAAUGCAAAAAUAGACAAAAGCUAUGCAUUGUUUAUUAAAAAGGGCUGCGAUCAAAGCAGAAUGAUACAAAUAAUGCGAUAAGCAAAAGGUUGGACUAUUUAACAUGUCCGUUCCAGGGGCAGGCUACGGAAUGGUAUGCGAAACAGGUAUACUGCUCGUGAUAGAGACCACCUGGGAGUUCCGUAAUGCGGCAUGGCUUGUUUGCUUCCCUGGUUCUUGCAUCGUUUGUGCGGCAAUUGAACUGCCGAACAGGCCUUCCGAAGAAUGGAGUCCUGAAAGUAAGAGAAAAUUAAAAAAUCGGCAGCCCCUGGUGCGGUUUAAGCCGUGUUUCGGGCGUGCUGUGAUGGUGCCCCUCCCCCUGUACCCAUGGUAUUUCUAGAGCAUAGUUAUGUACGCGAAACGCUGGUGUCACAUUUUUGCGAGGGCUGGGGUUGGGGCCGCAUUGCUACGCCUGCUCGGAACGUGCCAGGUGGUCUUGUUGUAGGGUACUCCGGGCGCUCUUGACGGUGUCUGGACGUUUAAUGGCUAGACUGGAGAACUGCCUGGAGAGGCUGCUUUGUACUUCCGCUGCAAGGGCCGCCGUGUGCUCCUCCGUUUGGAGGAAGCGUUCGGUGUUUCCAUUGACCGUAAUUACUCCUCGAGGGCCUGGCAUCUUGAGCUUAAGGUAUGCAUAGUGCGGUACCGCAUUGAACUUGGCGAAUGCGGUUCGCCCGAGCAGUGCGUGAUAGCCACUGCGGAAUGGGACUAUGUCGAAGAUUAACUCCUCGCUUCGGAAAUUAUCCUGAGAUCUGAAGACCACUUCAAGUGUGACUGAGCCUGUACAGUUGGCCUCUACACCUGGUAUUACGCCUUUAAAUGUCGUUUUGGUGGGCUUAAUCCUUGAGGGAUCUAUGCCCAUUUUCCGCACUGUAUCCUGGUAAAGCAGGUUCAGGCUGCUGCCGCCGUCCAUAAGGACUCUAGUGAGAUGAAAUCCGUCAAUAAUUGGGUCUAGAACCAAUGCGGUGAAUCUGCCAUGACGGGUGCUAGUGGGAUGGUACCUUCGAUCAAAGGUGAUCGGGCAGGAGGACCAUGGGUUGAACUUUGGGGCGACUGGCUCUACCGCGUAUACGUCCCUUAACGCGCGCUUCCGCUCCCUCUUGGGGAUGUGGGUUGCGUAUAUCAUGUUCACUGUCCGCACUUGUGGGGGAAAACCCUUCUGUCCACUGUUGUUCGGCGGUCGGGGCUCUUCGUCGUAAUCGCUAUGCAGCCCCUUGUCUAUAUUUUCGGCAUUUAACUUGCCUGCCUGCUUGAACACCCAACAAUCCCUGUUGGUGUGAUUGGCCGGCUUUUCGGGGGUGCCAUGCAUCUGGCACAAGCGGUCGAGUAUUCGGUCCAAACUGGAUGGGCCCCUAGGAUUUCUUUUGAAUGGCUUUUUCCGUUGACCGGAUUUAUAGCCUCUGAAUCCGGCAUUAACUUCCAUAUCCUCAGCAUUGCCGCCGUUAAUGCGGCGCUUCUGCUUGUUGUGAUGUGACCUGCCACUACUGUCCUUGGUAUCCGAAUUACCAGGGUUCUUGGUCAUAUUGUUGCUACGAGCAAGCCAGCUGUCUUCUCCCGCGCAAAAGCGGGUCAUGAGUGUCGUGAGUGCUGCCAUAGAUUUCGGCUUUUCCUGUCCAAGGUGCCGGGCAAGCCACUCGUCACGGAUAUUGUGCUUGAAGGCUGCUAGGGCCUCUGCGUCCGGACAGUCGACUAUUUGAUUUUUCUUUGUUAGGAACCGUGUCCAGAAUUGCCUGGCCGAUUCCUUUGGCUGCUGAAUUACGUGGCUUAGGUCAUCGGCGUCUGGUGGUCGCACAUAAGUGCCCUGGAAAUUGUCAAGGAAUGCGGCUUCCAGGUCCUCCCAAAAACUGAUUGAUCCUGCUGGCAAGCUAUUAAACCAAUGCCGAGCUGGUCCUUUAAGCUUGAGCGGGAGGUAUUUGAUGGCGUGGAGAUCAUCGCCGCGGGCCAUGUGGAUAUGAAGGAGAUAAUCCUCGAUCCAUACUGCAGGAUCUGUUGUGUCAUCAUAUGAUUCGAUGUUUACGGGUUUGAAACCCUCAGGGAUUUGAUGAUCCAUUACUUCGUCUGUGAAGCAUAGUGGGUGUGCGGCGCCUCUGUACUGGGCUAUAUCACGACGUAGCUCCAAUGAGCUUUGUCUACUGUGUUCGGCCCUACCGGAUUUAUGUCCGGCGUGACGGUUAUCAUCUCGAGUCAUGGGGUGCCCACGCGAUCCGUAGAUUGAUCUUGUUUUCCUUGCCUUGUCCUCCAACAUAUCUCGCAGGUCUGGCGCAUUUUCCCGUGCCUUGGUACGGGGUGCGGCUUGAGUGGAGGACCGAGAGGCCUUUCUGUCGCGGCCACGAGGUGGCCGGUCGGCCGUAUCAAGUGCUGGUGAUGUAGGUUUAAGUGCUUCCUCCUCUAAUCGGGGUAGCAACCUACGCUUUGGGUAGCUCUUGGAGGGGUGUUCGAGUUUAUGCUCUUCGGUCGCAAGGACUUCAGUCCAUCUGUCGACUAGCAAAUCUUGAUCAGCUCUAAGUUGUUGCUGUUUUUUCUUGAGGCUUCUUGCCGUGGCCAUAAGCCUGCGUUGAAAACGCUCUUGCUCGACGGGAUCCUCUGGCACGACGAAUUCGUCGUCAUCGAGGCUUGCCUCGUCUUCGGAGGGAGGCGUAUAAUUAUCGUCCUCGACCUCUCUGUCUGCCGCUCUCUCAUGAGGGCUGGCUUCUCCAUCCUCCUGUGUUGAAUCUUGCUGGAGGGGGUUUUCUUCGGCACUCUCCGGAGUAUUAUUAUCUCCCGUGCUGGAAUCGCCGUAUUUGCUUUGGCGGGAUUUUGAGCGGCGCCGCUGACGCCGGCACUUAGGCUGUUUCUUGGAGGGGUCAUCCUCCGCUGCUCCAUCGCCAUCUCCUUCUUUUGGGGUGUCCACCAUGUAUAUGUCAUAUGACGAGGUGGCUCUCCAGGGCCCAAUAGGCGCUGGUUCUUCAUCGUCUCCUGCAUCGGCGUCCAUACCGUCGAUGUCUUCGGAGUCGAAGUCGAGCAUGUCGGUUAAAUCGUCGACAGUGGCUACAAAGUGGGUGGUGGGUGGGCUUUGAAUUUCUUCAUCGUCCGUAUCACAACCUUGCUGACCGUAGUCCGGCCAGGGAUCUCCUGAUAAAGAGAGAGACUUUAGUGUCUUCAGAAUAUCACCGAAAGGCGAGUGCUGAAAGAUGUCCGUGGCAGUAAACUCCAUGAUCGGCGCCCAAUCGGAUUCGAUCGGCAGGGGCGCGGAGGGUUCGGAGUCCGGAGAGGAUUCCGGCUCCUUGGAGUCACGAGUCUCGCAAAGUGCGGGGCUGGUGUUCGGCUCGAUUGCCGUUGGGAUCGCAGCCCCCGAGGCGGCGUCCAACAACCCAACCUCGAUCGGCGCAGUUGGCUCCGAAUUAAGGGUCGAAGCCGAUGCGGGUGCGGCCUCCAGGGCACUGUUCGGCGGCAGAGCUAGAUCAUGCUCGUCGUGACAGUGCGGCGCGCUUGGCAGUGGCUCGAAUCCGUCGAAGAUCAAGUCCCUGCGGAUGUCAGAUGUGUAGUUUAAACUUCCAAAUCUGACCUGACGGCCAGGGGCAUAGCUUUCGAUCUGCUCCAGAUGGCCAAGUGAAUUGGCCCGCAGUGCGAAGCCACCGAAGACGAAGAUCUGUCCGGGAGGAAGGUCUCACCCUGGACUGCAUCGCUAUUGAUGAUCAUAGGAGCCAUCAAGCCUAACGACGACGACACAAAGGAACUCUCAAUGAAAGCACCAAUGUCGGUGUCAAAACCGGCAGAUCUCGCGUAGGGGGUCCCGAAUUGUGCGUCUAGGCCGGAUGGUAUCAGGAGGCAGGGGACACGAAGUUUUACCCAGGUUCGGGCCCCCUUGAUGGAGGUAAAACCCUACGUCCUGCUUGAUUAAUAUUGAUGAUAUGGGUAGUACAAGAGUAGAUCUACCAUGGGAUCGGAGAGGCUAAACCCUAGAAGCUAGCCUAUGGUAUGAUUGUUGUUCUGUAUGUUGUCCUACGGACUAAAACCCUCCGGUUUAUAUAGACACCGGAGAGGGUUAGGAUUACACAAAGUCGGUUACAAUGAUAGGAGAUCUACAUAUCCGUAUCGCCAAGCUUGCCUUCCACGCCAAGAAAAGUCCCUUCCGGACACGGGACGAAGUCUUCAAUCUUGUAUCUUCAUAGUCCAGGAGUCCGACUGAAGGUAUAGUCCGGCCAUCCGGACACCCCCUAAUCCAGGACUCCCUCGGCUAUCCCUCUGUAUCAGAUGAUGAAGAAGACAGAUAAUUUUGUCUGGAGCGAUGCCGCUAAUGAAGCAUUUGAGGACUUUAAGAGACGGUUGGCUGAGUCGCCCGUUCUUGCUGCUCCUAUGGAUAAGGAGCCGUUGCUGUUGUAUGUGGCUGCUAAUGGUCGUGCUGUCAGCGUAGCUAUUGUGGUGGAACAGAAGGAGGCAGGCAAGGAAUAUCUGGUUCAGAGGCCGGUUUACUACAUCAAUGAGGUUCUCAUUGAGUCCAAGUAGAGGUAUCCACACUAGCAGAAACUUGUAUAUGGGGUGUUCAUGGCCAGUCGGAAACUUAAGAAGUAUUUUUUGGGCCAUCCCAUCAUUGUGGUUAGUUCUGCUCACUUAGGGGAUAUUAUUCAAAAUAGAUAAGCCACAGGUCGGAUAGCCAAGUGGGCCAUUGAGCUUGGACCUCAUGGUUUGAAGUAUAUGCCUCGCACGGCUAUCAAGUCUCAAGCACUGGUGAAUUUCAUUAAUGACUGGACAGAACUGCAGAUGCCUGAAGAAAAGCCAGAUAACACGUAUUGGACUAUUCACUUUGAUGGGUCCAGGCAAUUGGAAGGCUCGGGGGCUGGAGUUGUGCUAGCUUCCCUUCGAGGUGAUAAAUUUUGUUAUGUUCUCCGGUUGACGUUCCCUUGCACUAACAAUGCAACUGGAUAUGAGGCCUUGCUCUAUGGUCUUCAGAUGGCCAAGGAGAUGAACUUAAGCCGGGUGAGGUGCUUUGGCGACUCCGAUUUGGUAGCUCAACAAGUUUCUGGUACUUGGGAUUCUAAGGAUCCACUCAUGGCAGCUUAUCGUCGAGAGGUUGAUGCUAUUGCGGGUCACUUCAAGGGUUAUCCGGUUGAUCUUAUUGACCGAAGGAAGAACGAGGCGGCUGAUGCGUUAAGCCGGCUAGGCUCUUAACAUAAGCCUGUGCCACCCAAUACUUUUUUAGAUAUUAUUAUGCAUAACCCCUCAGUCAAGUUGCCUACAGAGGAAGACCUUGCUAUUCCUAACCUAGAAGCACAAUUGGUGGCGGCUCUUCAUGUAAUUCCUGAUUGGACAGUUUCAUAUUUGGCUUAUAUGAGCCAGGGCAAGUUACUUGAGGAUGAAACUUUGGCCAGACAGAUAACCCGACGGUCCAAGUCAAUGACCAUUGUCAAUGGAGAGCUACAUCAUCGCAGUGUCACAGGGGCGUUUCGACGUUGUGUUUCACCCGAAGAAGGCCGUGAGAUUCUGUGAGAGAUUCAUGAAGGAGAUUGUGGUCAUCAUGCCGGUUCUAAAUCUCUUGUGGCUAAAGCUUUUCGUCAUGGAUUUUAUUGGCUGACGACUCAUGCUGAUGCUGAAGACUUGGUCAGUAAGUGUGAUGGAUGUCAGAAAUUUUCACGAUGAGCCCAUAUGCCGGCUCAAAAGUUGAGGAUGAUUCCAAUUACUUGGCCGUUUGCAGUCUGGGGGCUUGAUAUGGUUGGACCUUUCAAAAGGUCCAAGGAUAAAAAAACACACCUCCUGAUGGCAGUAGACAAAUUUACAAAGUGGGUUGAGGCAGAGCCCGUCAGCAAAUGUGACGCGGCAACGGUGAUUCAGUUCAUUAAAAAGGUGAUUUUUCGUUUUGGCUUUCCCCACAAUAUCAUAACUGAUAAUGGCAUUAGUCUAUUCAAAGGUGCUAUGAAAGAAUUUUGUCAACGUGAGCAUAUCCGGCUUGACGUGUCAUUAGUGUCUCACCCCCAAUCAAAUGGUCAAGCCGAGAGAGCCAAUCAAUAGAUCCCGAGAGGCAUCAAGUCUCGACUUAUGAUUCCCCUGCAGAGGACAUCGGGUUGUUGGGUGGAGGAGUUACCUUUCGUGUUAUGGAGCAUUAAUACCACCCCAACAGAUCUAUGGGUUACACGCCUUUCUUCAUGGUUUACGGAGCAGAGGCAGUUCUCCCUAGUGACAUCCGUCAUGACUCGCCCCGUGUGGCGGCUUAUGUUGAAGCUGACAAUGAAAAAGCACGUCAGGAAGCACUUGACCUGUUAGAUGAGGAGCAUGACAUCGCGGCGGCUCGUUCUGCAAUCUACCAGCAAGAUCUACGUCGCUACCACAGCCUCCGGGUUAAAACCAGAACUUUUCAAGAAGGUGAUUUGGUGCUCCGCCUCAUCCAGGAUCAAACUGACAUGCACAAGUUAUCCCCACCUUGGGAAGGACCUUUUGUGGUCAAUAAAAAUCUGAACAACGGAUCAUACUACCUUAUCAACAUUCAGGAACACAAGGAUUCACGUAAGUCGGAGGAGGAGACCCGCCAGCCGUGGAAUAUUGCUCAUCUUCGGUCUUACUAUACUUGAGCCACCAGCUCUUCCAAUGUACAUAUUUUUGACAAUGUAUAUAUUAUAUUUUUAAUAAAGCCGACAUCCCUGAGAAAGUAGGCCUCUGCCAUUACAUUUCCAAGAAUAACGAGUCUUUGUUACUUACAACAUGAUCACUUGGGGGCUUCAUGUUCAAACAUAUGUGUACUUACCAAAGAGAACAUAGCGUUACUACCUUUUUGAUCCAGUGCACGCCACGAUUAUGGUCACUUGGGGGCUUCCUGAUCGUAUUCGAACCAUAGCGUUACUACCCUCUUGAUUGAAUAUGUCACUUGGGGGCUUCCUGUUCAAACAUAAGUGUAAUCACCAAAGAGAACAUAGCGUUACUACCCACUUGAUCUUGGUAAUUAGGCUAUCAAGCCAAUAUGAUAAUGUCAUGAGAGCACAACUCUGGUUAUCUUGGUAAUUCGGCUGCCAAGCCAAUAUGAAAAUUCAUAAGAGCACAACUCUGGUUAUCCUGGUAACUUGGCUACCAAGCCAAUAUGAUAAAGUCAUAAGAGCACAGCUCUGGUUACCUCGAUAACUCGGCUACCAAGCCAAUAUGAUAAUUUCAUGAGAGCAUAGCUCUGAUUACCUUGAUAAUUUGGCUACCAAGCCAAUAUGAUAAUUUCAUGAGAGCACAGCUCUGGUUACCUUGGGAUUUCGCCUACCAAGCCAGUAUUAUAACUUCACAUGAGCAUAGCUCUGACCUACUUGGCGAAUUAAUGAUCGGGUUACACGGGGCAAAGAGAGUCUGAUUACAUAGCACAGCUCAAACAUAGGUUUAUGGUGACCCGACAGCAUAUUAUGGUAUUAAGUACUUGGAAUUAUUCGUCUUCUAAGUUUUGGGUUAUCACCCGUGCUGCAUUGGCAUGAUAAGCCAGAAAUUUUUUUAUCACAUCACAGGUAUGAUAUUCUUUGAAUAUAUUCAAUCAUGAUUAAACCGGCCCUGGUUAUGCACUAUUUUAGUCACCAGCAGUUUUAUAUUGGGCAUUAUGACCCGUCCUGCGAUAAACCGCCAGGACACUUGUGUCUAUUUGUAUGCAGGAACAGAUUCAAAAUAAUAAUAACAUAAGCACAAGUGGCAGAUCUUAAAUUGGCGGAUCAACAGUGUCAUGCAAAGCAAAAUAUGCACGAUGGCAUAGUAGACAAGAGUUCAAGCUAGCCUAUUACAAGGCAUCUGACGGCUCAACGAUACUAAGCACUCAUCAAAGUUAUCCAUAUAGUAAAGUAUUCUGAUAAGUACACCGGUUUAUGAUUAUUGGCGGGUUAAAGCUUUAGGAUCUUCCUGCACCUCUUCUUCAUCUUCAACUCCUUGUUUAUCUAUCGGCUAGAAGUCAGGCGUAGCCCAGUUGAUACCAGUCAACGCUCUAAACACAACUUCAUCAUCGAUAAGAUUGGAUGGAUCAAUAUCAGGGGCAAAGGUGUGCUUACAAAUUGGAGGAAUAAGAUCUGUUAUCUCAUGAACUGGCGUGCCAAUCUUCUUGUUGUCAGCAUCAUAAGCCGACUGGUAUGUGGAUAAGCUGGUUUCGUCAGCUAGUUUACUUGCUAACGGACGCAUAGCUCUUGCUAUUUUUGCGAAGUCAUCAGCACUGAAGUCCGAUCCAUCUUCUUCAACACUGGGGCAGCCGUUGGCCAAAUCUUCCGGGUCAAGAUCGGCCUGCCAUGCUUUGGCCCAGCUUAAAGCAGUUAAAGCGCCAGCUCUGGCUGCUUCCCGUUUUAAGUCACAAUUCUUUUGGGUAGCACUGAUAAUUUCUUCAAAGUGUCUUGGAUAAGUGUUGAAGGAGUUUUCUUAUGCAUUGUAGCAGCGAUGGUUCGUUGGGCACCAGUAUAUAGCUGCUCUACUAGAGUGUAGACAGCUUUAAGCCGGAUGUGCAUAUCUGAGCCCAACUUAGCGCUCCGAGAACCUGCAUCAACAAAGUUAUGGGUAAGCCGGCAGACGUUGAUUCUUGCAGUACAAAGGGGGAUAUGUUCUUACAAAGAUGGCUGGUGACAUAAUAUUAAUCUGCUGCUUUAGGCCGGAUAACUCCUUAAUUACCGGUUUAAGCGCAGCUUCAGCAUCCUCAGCUCUCUUCAGCAGGGUUGACCUCUCUGUAUCCCAACCCGUUUCUUUAGUUUUAAAACUUUCCUUCAAUUUUUCCAUCGCUGCUAAAGCAUUGGUUACUUCAUCCUUGGCUUUGGAGGUCUCUACUUGUUGAGACUUGAUAUUUUCUCGAAGGUCGGCGAUUUCGGAUUCUUUACUGUUCAUCUCAGACUGCAAGCGAUAAACAAUUUGUGAGAUGGCAAUGAAUUUAUACAAAGUCCCAACCACAAUACAAGUAUUAUAUUUGGCACUUGGGGGCUAAUGUCUAUUGCUUCUUCAAAUACUGCGAAGUCCCAAGCACAAUACAAGUAUUGUCCUUAGCACUUGGGGGCUAAUGUCUAUUGCUUCUUCGAAUACUGCGAAGUCCCAAGCACAAUACAAGUAUUGUCCUUAGCACUUGGGGGCUAAUGCAUGCGGCUCUUGUCAAAAGAUGAGCAUAUUGGUUGACCCGGACAAGAGGUAGUAAUCCGGCUUAUGAAGACUAUGAACAGUAUUAUGCAAUUCCUACAAAAUAAGUCCCUGCUUAACAUAAUUGUUAAGCCGACCCUUGGGGGCUACAGAUGCAGAGUUGAAAUACUAUUAUCAUAAGUCCUAGUUCAUAUUCAAAAUAUAAACUGGCCCUUGGGGGCUACUGGUUUGCGUCUAUGCAACUAUUGAAAUUUACAUCACAUUCCAUUCUGUCGUGUCCAAUAAACUUGACGGCUAAUGGAAAUAUACUUAUAUGAAAGGAAGUGACAGCGUUUACCUCAUAGCGGUCUUUCAUCAAGUUCACUAAGUCGGCUUCAAAAUCACAGCUGGUGUAUAAAUGGUUUAAGUAGCCAGAAUGGAUGUCUUGGGCGCUGAAAUGGGUAUAGUGUUCUAAAUCUACCUUCCACUUGCCUUUAUCCUCAACAGAAAUUUCUUCUUUGGUGAUGUGCAUGGACAAAGUAGUAGGACGACCCGGGGUUGUGAAGCCAUGACCAAUAAUGGUAACAUCAUCAUAUUUUCCUGCCGGCUUAACAGGACUGGCUGUUCUGAUAGGGCUCGGCGGAUUGGUAUCACUCGGGUUAGCAUUCAUCGGGUCAAUAUCAAUGUUGUGGCUUUCUGGUGGCAAAUCAUCAACAAUAUUAUCAGCAAUUGGGUGAGAAGAUUCUGGUUGUUGAUUUUCUGGCUCAGACGAGUUGGGAUCAUUGACGGGCUUAUUCAGUUUUGCCUUCUUACUGUGUUUAGCUUGGCCUGUGGAAAAACAAGAAAUAAACAGAAGUCAAGGUGAUGAUCAAGCACAACUAUUGGAAUGGUUGAAAAUAGUUUUACCCAGGUACAGUCUUAAAAGCGGGAAUUUGUGUUCCUGUUGACUCGCCAGAAGAGGAAUGAGAAGUCCCCUGAUAGUUUGAAUCAAACGGGUUAGGAGGUUGUCGAAAAUAACCCGCCUUGGGGUAAAGCAUGUCAGAAAUAUGUAAGACCUCUGGAUGGCGUUCGUGAAGUGGAGUGUUUGGUAAACCGGAGGAAGUGAUCAUGUUGCCGCUAUGCCGGGUUGUGCAGCGAGCUUCAUGUUGCUCUUUCUUCAAAAGAAAGUUUGGAUCCAAGUAAGCUAGAGACUGAGAAAAUCUUACUUUCUGGCUUGCUUGUCAGGUUUUUUGUGUUGGUAGAGGUUCUGAGCCGGAUGAAAGAAUAAUUACCUCUGCGUCACCUGCCCGGCUAGCCUAUGCGUCGUCCUGAUAACAAUUAUUGUUAAUGAGAUGUAUGAAAAAGGAGCCAAGUGAAUCAAGUUCUACCUCUGACUCAUGAUUAUCAUCGUCAUCAUCAAUGUUUAACUCGGCAGACUCGGCGGUUUUCUUUUUGGUAGGCUUCUUGUUGGCCUUCUGUUUGACACGAGGUGCUUUGGCCGACUUAUCCUGCGGUUUCCUUUUCCAAAAUGGAUCAUCAGCCUGUUAAAGAUUGGGAAGAUUAUAAGAGAAUAUUAAGAAUGUGGAUUAAGUAGGAGUUGGGCAAUUCUUACGGCUGGUGGCUUGUUGACAGUGCAGAAGGGACUAAGUCUAGUUUUGCUGCACUCUUUUACAGGUUCAUUCAACAACUUUUUGGUGGCUUCAGUAACUUCUGCCUUAGAUAACUGAAUAUCACAAUGGCUGUGAGGAUCUUUAACAUCACAAGUAUAUUCGCACAUUAAGCCGGGGUGACGACUUAAUGGCAAGAUACUCCAAGAUAACCAACACGAGAAAAAAUAGACGCCAGUUAAGCCGUUGGCCAUAAAGGCCCUGAGUUUUGAGAAGGCAGGUGCAUACUUGGCCCAUUCCUUUGCAUCAAGACGUUGGGGAAGUGGAUGGUUGUUGUUAAGCCGGUGCCCGCAGUAACCUGGCAGAGGAUUUUCAUCAGAUGGGGAUGUAUCUCGAACAUAGAACCAAGUUUGGUUCCAAUCUUUGGAGUGGCUAUGCAGCUUGGCAUGAGGAAAACUGACAUCUUUCCUCUUCCGAAUAAUGACUCCACCAAGUUCUUGGCAUGGCCCAUCAACAAAAUCAGUUUGGCAGUUUAAAUAAUAGAAUUCCCUGAAUAGAUCAACCGUGGGUUCUUCUUGAAGAUAGGCUUCGCAGAAUACUUGAAAAUUGCAAAUGUUAGACACGGAGUUGGGUCCGAUGUCUUGAGGGUGCAGUUGGAGGAAAUGAAGCACAUCACAAAACUUUUUUGAGCUGGGAGGACUGAACCCCCGAUCCAAGUGAUCAGCAAAAACAAUUACUUCUCCAUCUUUGGGUUGAGGAAGGACUUCAUCACCAGGAGCUCUCCAGUGGAUAUCCUCCUUUUUAGCUAAGGAGCCAGUGGUGACACAAUUGUUCAGUUCUUCCUCGGUAAUCCGGGAUUUGACCCAAUUACAAGAGGUAUAUGUCUUAGCCAUUUCUGAAAAAAUAUUAUGCCGUUUUAAGGUCACAUGGUUAAGCCGGCUUACGGUUAAAGGAUAAACAAUAAUGAAGUACGAUUAGGUAUUAAGCCGAAGCUUGAUAUUGUUGGAAAUAUGCCCUAGAGGCAAUAAUAAAAGGAUUAUUAUUAUAUUUCCUUGUUCAUGAUAAUUGUCUUUUAUUCAUGCUAUAAUUGUGUUAUCUGGAAAUCGUAAUACAUGUGUGAAUACAUAGACACCAACAUGUCCCUAGUAAGCCUCUAGUUGACUAGCUCGUUGAUCAACAGAUAGUCAUGGUUUCCUGACUAUGGACAUUGGAUGUCAUUGAUAACGAGAUCACAUCAUUAGGAGAAUGAUGUGAUGGACAAGACCCAAUCCUAAACAUAGUACAAGAUCGUAUAGUUCGUUUGCUAGAGUUUUUCCAAUGUCAAGUAUCUUUUCCUUAGACCAUGAGAUCAUGUAACUCCCGGAUACCGUAGGAAUGCUUUGGGUGUACCAAAUGUCACAACGUAACUGGGUGACUAUAAAGGUAUACUACGGGUAUCUCCGAAAGUGUCUGUUGGGUUGACACGGAUCAAGACUGGGAUUUGUCACUCCGUAUGACGAAGAGGUAUCUCUGGGCCCACUCGGUAAUGCAUCAUCAUAAUGAGCUCAAAGUGACCAAGUGUCUGGUCACGGGAUCAUGCAUUACGGUAUGAGUAAAGUGACUUGCCGGUAACGAGAUUGAACGAGGUAUUAGGAUACCGACGAUCGAAUCUCGGGCAAGUAACGUACCGAUUGACAAAGGGAAUUGUAUACGGGGUUGCUUGAAUCCUCGACAUCGUGGUUCAUCCCAUGAGAUCAUCGAGGAGCAUGUGGGAGCCAACAUGGGUAUCCAAAUCCCGCUGUUGGUUAUUGACCGGAGAGCCAUCUCGGUCAUGUCUACAUGUCUCCCGAACCCGUAGGGUCUACACACUUAAGGUUCGGUGACGCUAGGGUUGUAGAGAUAUGAAGAUGCAGUAACCCGAAAGUUGUUCGGAGUCCCGGAUGAGAUCCCGGACGUCACGAGGAGUUCCGGAAUGGUCCGGAGGUGAAGAAUUAUAUAUAGGAAGUGCAGUUUUGGCCAUCGGGAGAGUUUCGGGGGUCAUCGAUAUUGUACCGGGACCACCGGAAGGGCCCCGGGGGUCCACCGCGUGGGACCACCCAUCCCGGAGGGCCCCAUGGGCUGAAGUGGGGAGGGGAACCAGCCCAUAGUGGGCUGGUACGCCCCCUUGGCCCACCCCCUGCGCCUAGGGUUGGAAACCCUAGGGUGGGGGGGGGGGCGCCCCACUUGCCUUGGGGGCCACUCCACCCUUGGCCGCCGCCCCCCUAGGAGAUCCCAUCUCCUAGGGCCGGCGCCCCCCCUUGGGGAGCCUAUAUUAAGGGUGGGGAGGGAGGGGCAGCCGCACCCUUGACUCUUGGCGCCUCCCUCUCCCCUGCUACACCUCUCCCUCUCGCAGUAGAACGGCGAAGCCCUGCUGCGGUGACUCCUGCAUCCACCACCACGCCGUCGUGCUGCUGGAUCUUCAUCAACCUCUCCUUCCCCCUUGCUGGAUCAAGAAGGAGGAGACGUCACGCUGACCAUACGUGUGUUGAACGCGGAGGUGCUGUCCGUUCGGCGCUAGGAUCUCCGGUGAUUUGGAUCACGUCGAGUACGACUUCCUCAUCCCCGUUCUUUGAACGCUUCCGCGCAUGAUCUACAAAGGUAUGUAGAUGCAAUCCGAUCACUCGUUGCUAGAUGAACUCAUAGAUGGAUCUUGGUGAAACCGUAGGAAAUUUUUUGUUUUCUGCAACGUUCCCCAACAGUGGCAUCAUGAGCUAGGUCUAUGCGUAGUUCUCUUUGCACGGGUAGAACACAAUUUGUUGUGGGCGUAGAUGUUGUCAACUUUCUUGCCGCUACUAGUCUUAUUUUGCUUCAGAAGUAUUGUGGGAUGAAGCGGCCCGGACCAACCUUACACGUACGCUUACGUGAGACCGGUUCCACCGACUGACAUGCACUAGUUGCAUAAGGUGGCUGGCGGGUGUGUGUCUCUCCCACUUUAGUUGGAGCGGAUUCGAUGAAAAGGGUCCUUAUGAAGGGUAAAUAGAAGUUGACAAAUCACGUUGUGGCUUUCACGUAGGUAAGAAAACGUUCUUGCUAGAACCCUAUUGCAACCACGUAAAACUUGCAACAACAAUUAGAGGACGUCUAACUUGUUUUUGCAGCAAGUGUUUUGUGAUGUGAUAUGGCCAAAGUUGUGAUGAAUGAUGAAUGAUAUAUAUGUGAUGUAUGAGAUGUUCAUGCUAUUUUAAUAGGAAUCAUGACUUGCAUGUCGAUGAGUAUGACAACUGGCAGGAGCCAUAGGAGUUGUCUUUAUUUUUUGUAUGACCUGCGUGUCAUUAAGAAACGCCAUGUAAAUUACUUUACUUUAUUGCUAAACGUGUUAGCCAUAGUAGUAGAAGUAAUAGUUGGCGAGCAACUUCACGGAGACACGAUGAUGGAGAUCAUGAUGAUGGAGAUCAUGGUGUCAUGCCGGUGACAAGAUGAUCAUGGAGCCCCAAGAUGGAGAUCAAAGGAGCUAUGUGAUAUUGGCCAUAUCAUGUCACUAUUAUUAUUUGAUUGCAUGUGAUGUUUAUCAUGUUUUUGCAUCUUGUUUACUUAGAACGACGGUAGUAAAUAAGAUGAUCCCUCAUAAUAAUUUCAAGAAAGUGUUCCCCCUAACUAUGCGCCGUUGCAACAGUUCAUUGUUUCGAAGCACCACGUGAUGAUCGGGUGUGAUAGAUUCCAACGUUCACAUACAACGGGUGUAAGACAGAUUUACACAUGCAAACACUUAGGUUGACUUGACGAUCCUAGCAUGUACAGACAUGGCCUCGGAACACAGAAGACCGAAAGGUCGAGCAUGAGUCGUAUAGAAGAUACGAUCAACAUGAAGAUGUUCACCGAUGUUGACUAGUCCGUCUCACGUGAUGAUCGGACACGGCCUAGUUAACUCGGAUCAUGUUAUACUUAGAUGACUGGAGGGAUGUUUAUCUGAGUGGGAGUUCAUUAAAUAUAUGAACUUAAUUAUUAUGAACUUAGUCUAAAAUAUUUACAAUAUGUCUUGUAGAUCAAAUGGCCAACGUUGUCCUCAACUUCAACGCGUUCCUAGAGAAAACCAAGCUGAAAGACGAUGGCAGCAACUAUACGGACUGGGUCCGGAACCUGAGGAUCAUCCUCAUAGCUGCCAAGAAAGAUUAUGUCCUACAAGCACCGCUAGGUGAAGCACCUGCUCUCCCUGCAGAACAAGACAUUAUGAAUGCUUGGUAGACACGUACCGAUGAUUACUCCCUUGUUCAGUGCGGCAUGCUUUACAGCUUAGAGCCGGGGCUCCAAAAGCGUUUUGAGAGACACGGAGCAUAUGAGAUGUUCGAAGAGAUGAAAAUGGUUUUUCAAGCUCAUGCCCGGGUCGAGAGAUAUGAAGUCUCCAACAAGUUCUUCAGCUGUAAGAUGGAGGAAAACAGUUCUGUCAGUGAGCACAUACUCACUAUGUCUGGGUUACAUAACCACUUGACUCAGCUGGGAGUUAAUCUCCCGGAUGACACGGUAAUUGACAGAAUCCUUCAGUCGCUUCCACCGAGCUACAAGAGCUUUGUGACGAACUUCAAUAUGCAAGGGAUGGAAAAGACCAUUCCUGAAGUAUUUGCAAUGCUGAAAUCAGCAGAGGUAGAAGUCAAAAAGGAACAUCAAGUGUUGAUGGUGAAUAAAACCACUAAGUUCAAGAAAGGCAAGGGUAAGAAGAACUUCAAGAAGGACGGCAAGGGAGUUGCCGCGCCCGGCAAGCAAGCUUCCGGGAAGAAGCCAAAGAAUGGACCCAAGCCCAAGACUGAGUGCUUUUAUUGCAAGGAAAGUGGUCACUGGAAGUGGAACUGCCCCAAAUACUUAGCGGACAAGAAGGCCGGCAAAACGAAAGGUAUAUGUGAUAUACAUGUAAUUGAUGUGUACCUUACCAGUACUCGUAGUAGAUCCUGGGUAUUUGAUACCGGUGCAGUUGCUCACAUUUGUAACUCAAAGCAGGAGCUGCGGAAUAAGCGGAGACUAGCGAAGGAUGAGGUGACGAUGCGCGUCGGGAAUGGUUCCAAGGUCGAUGUGAUCGCCGUCGGCACGCUACCUCUACAUUUACCUACGGGAUUAGUUUCGAACCUCAAUAAUUAUUAUUUAGUGCCAAGUUUGAGCAUGAACAUUGUAUCAGGAUCUCGUUUAAUACGAGAUGGCUACUCAUUUAAAUCCGAGAAUAAUGGUUGUUCUAUUUAUAUGAGAGAUAUGUUUUAUGGUCAUGCUCCGAUGGUGAAUGGUUUAUUAUUAAUGAAUCUCGAGUGUAAUGCUACACAUUUUCAUAGUGUGAGUACCAAAAGAUGUAAGGUUGAUAAUGAUAGUCCCACAUACUUGUGGCACUGCCGCCUUGGUCACAUAGGUGUCAAACGCAUGAAGAAGCUCCAUGCAGAUGGACUUUUAGAGUCUCUUGAUUACGAAUCAUUUGACACGUGCGAACCAUGCCUCAUGGGUAAAAUGACCAAGACUCCGUUCUCAGGAACAAUGGAGCGAGCAACCAACUUAUUGGAAAUCAUACAUACUGAUGUGUGCGGUCCAAUGAGUGUUGAGGCUCGCGGUGGUUAUCGUUAUGUUCUCACCCUCACUGAUGACUUGAGUAGAUAUGGGUAUGUCUACUUAAUGAAACACAAGUCUGAGACCUUUGAAAAGUUCAAGGAAUUUCAGAGUGAGGUUGAGAAUCAACGUGAUAGGAAAAUCAAGUUCUUGCGAUCAGAUCAUGGAGGAGAAUACUUGAGUCACGAGUUUGGCACACACUUAAGAAAAAGUGGAAUAGUUUCACAACUGAUGCCACCUGGAACACCUCAGCGUAAUGGUGUGUCCGAACGUCGUAAUCGCACUCUAUUAGAUAUGGUGCGAUCUAUGAUGUCUCUUACCGAUUUACCACUAUCUUUUUGGGGCUAUGCUUUAGAGACUGCCGCAUUCACUUUAAAUAGGGCUCUGUCGAAAUCCGUUGAGACGACACCGUAUGAAUUAUGGUUUGGGAAGAAACCUAAGCUGUCAUUUCUAAAAGUUUGGGGAUGCGAUGCUUAUGUCAAGAAACUUCAACCUGAAAAGCUCGAACCCAAGUCGGAAAAAUGCGUCUUCAUAGGAUACCCUAAAGAAACUAUUGGGUAUACCUUCUACCUCAGAUCCGAAGGCAAGAUCUUUGUUGCCAAGAAUGGAUCCUUUCUAGAGAAGGAGUUUCUCUCGAAAGAAGUAAGUGGGAGGAAAGUAGAACUUGAUGAAGUAUUACCUCUUGAACCGGAAAAAGGCGCAACUCAAUAAAAUGUUCCUGAGGUGCCUGCACCGACUAGAGAGGAAGUUAAUGAUGAUGAUCAUGAAACUUCAGAUCAAGUUGCUACUGAACUUCGUAGGUCCACAAGGACAUGUUCCGCACCAGAGUGGUACGGCAACCCUGUCUUGGAAAUCAUGUUGUUAGACAACGGUGAACCUUCGAACUAUGAAGAAGCGAUGGCGGGCCCGGAUUCUGACAAAUGGCUGGAAGCCAUGAAAUCCGAGAUAGGAUCCAUGUAUGAAAACGAAGUAUGGACUUUGACUGACUUGCCCAUUGAGCGGCGAGCCAUAGAAAAUAAAUGGAUCUUUAAGAAGAAGACAGACGCGGAUGGUAAUGUGACCAUCUAUAAAGCUCGGCUUGUCGCUAAGGGUUAUCGACAAGUUCAAGGGGUUGACUACAAUGAGACUUUCUCACCGGUAGCGAAGCUGAAGUCCGUCUGAAUCAUGUUAGCAAUUGCCGCAUUCUAUGAUUAUGAGAUAUGGCAAAUGGACAUCAAAACGACAUUCCUUAAUGGUUUUCUUAAGGAAGAAUUGUAUAUGAUGCAGCCGAAAGGUUUUGUCGAUCCUAAGAAUGCUGACAAGGUGUGCAAGCUCCAACGCUCGAUUUAUGGGCUGGUGCAAGCAUCUCGGAGUUGGAACAUUCGCUUUGAUGAGAUGAUCAAAGCGUUUGGGUUUAUGCAGACUUAUGGAGAAGCCUACGUUUACAAGAAAGUGAGUGGGAGCUCUGUAGCAUUUCUCAUAUUAUAUGUAGAUGACAUACUUUUGAUGGGAAAUGAUAUAAAGCUUUUGGACAGCAUUAAGGCCUACUUGAAUAAGAGUUUUUCAAUGAAGGACCUUGGAGAAGCUGCUUAUAUAUUAGGCAUCAAGAUCUAUAGAGAUAGAUCAAGACGCCUCAUAGGUCUUUCACAAAGCACAUACCUUGAUAAGAUAUUGAAGAAGUUCAAUAUGGAUCAGUCUAAGAAGGGGUUCUUGCCUGUGUUGCAAGGUGUGAAAUUGAGCUCAGCUCAAUGUCCGACCACGGCAGAAGAUAUAGAAGAGAUGAGUGUCAUCCCCUAUGCCUCAGCCAUAGGUUCUAUUAUGUAUGCCAUGCUGUGUACCAGACCUGAUGUAAACCUUGCCGUAAGUUUGGUAGGUAGGUACCAAAGUAAUCCCGGCAAGGAACACUGGACAACGGUCAAGAAUAUCCUGAAGUACCUGAAAAGGACUAAGGAAAUGUUUCUCGUUUAUGGAGGUGACAAAGAGCUCGUCAUAAAGGGUUACGUCGACGCUAGCUUCGACACAGAUCUGGAUGACUCUAAGUCACAAACCGGAUACAUGUAUAUUUUGAAUGGUGGGGCAGUAAACUGGUGCAGUUGCAAGCAGAGCGUCGUGGCGGGAUCUACAUGUGAAGCGGAGUACAUGGCAGCCUCGGAGGCAGCGCAUGAAGCAAUUUGGGUGAAGCAGUUCAUCACCGACCUAGGAGUCAUACCCAAUGCGUCGGGGCCGAUCAAACUCUUCUGUGACAACACUGGAGCUAUUGCACUUGCCAAGGAGCCCAGGUUUCACAAGAAGACCAGGCACAUCAAGCUUCGCAUCAACUCCAUUCGUGAAAAUGUUCAAGAUGGAGACAUAGAUAUUUGUAAAGUACAUACAGACCUGAAUGUAGCAGAUCCGUUGACUAAACCCCUCCCUGGAGCAAAACAUGAUCAACACCAGAAUUCCAUGGGUGUUCGAUUCAUCACAAUGUAACUAGAUUAUUGACUCUAGUGCAAGUGGGAGACUGUUGGAAAUAUGCCCUAGAGGCAAUAAUAAAAGGAUUAUUAUUAUAUUUCCUUGUUCAUGAUAAUUGUCUUUUAUUCAUGCUAUAAUUGUGUUAUCCGGAAAUCAUAAUACAUGUGUGAAUACAUAGACACCAACAUGUCCCUAGUAAGCCUCUAGUUGACUAGCUCGUUGAUCAACAGAUAGUCAUGGUUUCCUGACUAUGGACAUUGGAUGUCAUUGAUAAUGAGAUCACAUCAUUAGGAGAAUGAUGUGAUGGACAAGACCCAAUCCUAAACAUAGCACAAGAUCGUAUAGUUCGUUUGCUAGAGUUUUUCCAAUGUCAAGUAUCUUUUCCUUAGACCAUGAGAUCGUGUAACUCCCGGAUACUGUAGGAAUGCUUUGGGUGUACCAAACGUCACAACGUAACUGGGUGACUAUAAAGGUAUACUACGGGUAUCUCCGGAAGUGUCUGUUGGGUUGACACAGAUCAAGACUGGGAUUUGUCACUCCGUAUGACAGAGAGGUAUCUCUGGGCCCACUCGGUAAUGCAUCAUCAUAAUGAGCUCAAAGUGACCAAGUGUCUGGUCAUGGGAUCAUGCAUUACGGUAUGAGUAAAGUGACUUGCCGGUAACGAGAUUGAACGAGGUAUUGGGAUAUCGACGAUCGAAUCUCGGGCAAGUAACAUACCGAUUGACAAAGGGAAUUAUAUACGGGGUUGCUUGAAUCCUCGACAUCGUGGUUCAUCCGAUGAGAUCAUCGAGGAGCAUGUGGGAGCCAACAUGGGUAUCCAGAUCCUGCUGUUGGUUAUUGACCGGAGAGCCAUCUCGGUCAUGUCUACAUGUCUCCCGAACCCGUAGGGUCUACACACUUAAGGUUCGGUGACGCUAGGGUUGUAGAGAUAUGAAAAUGCAGUAACCCGAAAGUUGUUCGGAGUCCCGGAUGAGAUCCCGGACGUCACGAGGAGUUCCAGAAUGGUCCGGAGGUGAAGAAUUAUAUAUAGGAAGUGAAGUUUCGGCCAUCGGGAGAGUUUCGGAGGUCACCGGUAUUGUACCGGCACCACCGGAAGGGUCCCGGGGGUCCACCGGGUGGGACCACCCAUCCCGGAGGGCCCCAUGGGCUGAAGUGGGGAGGGGAACCAGCCCAUAGUGGGCUGGUGCGCCCCCUUGGCCCACCCCCUGCGCCUAGGGUUGGAAACCCUAGGGUGGGGGGAGGGCGCCCCACUUGCCUUGGGGGCCACUCCACCCUUGGCCGCCGCCGCCCCUAGGAGAUCCCAUCUCCUAGGGCCGGCACCCCCCCUUGGGGAGCCUAUAUAAAGGGGGGAGGGAGGGGCAGCCGCACCCUUCACUCUUGGCGCCUUCCUCUCCCCUGCUACACCUCUCCCUCUCGCAGUAGAACGAUGAAGCCCUGCUGCGGCGACUCCUGCAUCCACCACUACACCGUCGUGCUGCUGGAUCUUCAUCAACCUCUCCUUCCCCCUUGCUGGAUCAAGAAGGAGGAGACGUCGCGCUGACCGUACGUGUGUUGAACGCGGAGGUGCCGUCCGUUCGGCGCUAGGAUCUCCGGUGAUUUGGAUCACGUCGAGUCUGACUUCCUCAUCCCCGUUCUUUGAACACUUCCGCGCGUGAUCUACAAAGGUAUGUAGAUGCAAUCCGAUCACUCGUUGCUAGAUGAACUCAUAGAUGGAUCUUGGUGAAACCAUAGGAAAUUUUUUGUUUUCUGGAACGUUCCCCAACAGAUAUUACAAGAUUACCAAGGAACUAUUGGCGGCUUAAGUGGGUACUAAUGAUACCUGGCGAGUUACUAUUGUUGAGUUAAGCCUCUUAUACCGAUGAUGAGAGAGCAGAUCUACGGAUUAAGCAAAAUGGCUAAGUGUUAAGAAAAACAGUUUUCACAGAUUGAUGCUAUAAUUUCAGAUCUAGUGCACUUCAGUUAAAUACAAAAAUAUUCAGACCUAAAUGUAUUAGUGCUCGAGCAGUUCAUGGGUACAGAUCGAUUUUUAUCUACGAAGGAGAUAUUCUAAAUAAUAAGAGGGAUUGCUAGGAUUGUCACGGUGUAGGAGGAGUACCAAGUGCGAAUUAAAGAUCCUAUAACCAAGAACAAGGACGACCUUCGAUGAACUUCAUUGAAACCCUAAUGGAUCUAUGAGGAGAGGCGGAAGAAGAACUAACCAGGGCUGUUGAGCGGCAGAGGUGCGCGGAUGAGAUCUGGUCCGAACAAGUUGAUGCAGCGGCUGUUGUCAGAGCAGAGGCGAAGGUUGACGACGACGGCGGAGCUCGUGUGCUANNNNNNNNNNNNNNNNNNNNNNNNNNNNNNNNNNNNNNNNNNNNNNNNNNNNNNNNNNNNNNNNNNNNNNNNNNNNNNNNNNNNNNNNNNNNNNNNNNNNNNNNNNNNNNNNNNNNNNNNNNNNNNNNNNNNNNNNNNNNNNNNNNNNNNNNNNNNNNNNNNNNNNNNNNNNNNNNNNNNNNNNNNNNNNNNNNNNNNNNNNNNNNNNNNNNNNNNNNNNNNNNNNNNNNNNNNNNNNNNNNNNNNNNNNNNNNNNNUAUAACGCAAAUGGAUAAGCGUCAAGCGCGGGAAUCAAGGAGGCCAAAAAACGGAUAUGUGACAGUGCAAAUGCCUCGAUUUUUGGAGAUUCAUUAAAAAUGAGGAGAUACAUUAAAGAUUUUGGCUUUGUGUAAAAUUAAUGACAGGUGAUGUCACGACGGGUUACCGUGAUCCCAGAGGAUGACGUCAUGGCGAGUUACAAAUUUUCCUGAAGGUAAUGAAGAAGGAAUUUUUCUAAGUGUUGAAGAUUGAUGUGAACAAGUUCAAAUCAACCUGGGGCCUAAUGUUGGGGAUAUAGCUAUUGAGUUAACCCGCCCAGGAGGGGCUGGGUUAUACUCAUGGCGACUCACAAGACAAAGCCCAUGAAGGAAUCAGAGAUGGCGGUUCAUGAGGAUGACUUAUGAAGAGCCCAAGGCCCAAAGGUGGCUUAAGGCCCGUAGGUGUAAACCGGCGUAUGUGUAUGACUUGUAUUAUAAGGCAAUUGUAAUUAAGUCACCGGGCCGGACACGUUUAUGAGCCAGCCGGGACUCGGUAAGCCACCAGGCGUCAACCUGAGUAUAUAAAGGGACGACCCGGUGGAGAGUUGGGAUGAGAGAGAAGAGAUCGAAAGCUAGGUCAAGCGUAUUCGCUCCCUAGUAACCGAGACAUAAGCAAUACCACCUCAAACUGGACUAGGCCUUUACCUUCACCGCAAGGGGCCGAACCAGUAUGAACUCCCUGUGUCCUUUGUCCCGUUUAACCCCUUUAAGCUAAUCUCGUUGCGAUGGCUCCACGACUAAGGCCUUAUGCUAGGACAUUUGCCGUGACAAUCCCACGACAGAUCUCGUGGUUCUGGACUCUGCGGUGGCUGGAUGAAUAUUUCGUUGACUCCCCUAGGGUUUUGGGAUUUUUGGGGUAUUUAUAGAGCAAAGAGAUGGUCCGGUGGGCACCCGAGGUGGGCACAACCCACCAAGGCGCACAUGGGCCUCCUGGCACACCCUGGUGGGUUGUCCCCUCCUCGGGACUCCCCCAGGUGCAACCAGGGCCCAACAUGUUCCUUCUGGCCCAUAAAAAAUCUUCGUAAAGUUUUGUGGCAUUUGGACUCCGUCUGAUAUUGAUUUUCUGCAAUGUACAAAACACAGAAAAAACAGGAACUGAUAGUUGGCACUAUGUCAAUAGGUUAGUACUGAAAAAUGAUAUAAAAUGAUUAUAAAACAUCCAAGAUUGAUAAUAUAACAGCAUGGAACAAUCAACAAUUAUAGAUACGUUGGAGACGUAUCAGCAUCCCCAAGCUUAACUCCUACUCAUCCUCGAGUAGGUAAGUGAUAAAAAUAGAAUUUUUGAUGUGGAAUGCUGCCUAUCAUGUCAUAUCAUAUUCUUUUUUGUAUAGCAUGGACAAUUGGACUUUUAGUUGUUCAAAGCAAUAGUCUAGUUUUGACAUGAUAAUUUAGAUACUCAAGCAUAUCAACAAGCAACCAUGUCUUUCAAAAUAUCAACACUAAAAUAAGUUAUCCCUAGCCCAUCAUGCUCAAACAUUGAUCCAUUCAUGAAACACACUCGAAUAUUAGCUACACCCAAUACCUAAGUACGAUCAUAUUGCUUCCUAGUUGGUGCUUUUAUAAGAGAAGAUGGAGACUCAAAAUAAAAAUUGCAUAAAGUAAAAGAAAGGCCCUUCAUAGAGGGAAGUAGGGAUUUGUAGAGGUGCCAGAGCUCAAACUGAAAAACUUAGAGAUAAAAACAUUUUGGGAGGUGUAUCCAUCCCACCAACGAAAACGACUUAGAGUUCCCAAUACUUUCCAUGCAUAGAUAUAUCAUAGGAGGUUCCCAAACAGAAAAUAAAGUUUAUUCCUUUUUCCACCAUAAAUUUCACUUUCCAUGGCUAACCGUAUCCAUGGGUGCCCUCCAUACCAACACUUUUCGAGGAAUUUAUUAUUUGACAACAUAAAGUAAAUUCAUUUUUGCAUUUCGUGACUGGGCAUCCCUAAUACCUUUGUCUUACUCUCGUGCAAUGACAAGUGAAUAAACACUCAUCUUGAGAAUAACACAUCUAGCAUGGAAAAUAUUAGCCACCCCUCACCACUCCGCGAGCGAAACAAACACACAAAAGAGAAGUUUAUUUUGUAAAUUAGAGAUGACACAAGCAAAUUUGCUUAGGACGACAAAGAAUACCACAUAUAGGUAGAUAUAGUGGACUCAUGUGGCAAAACUGGGUUAAAGGAUUUUGGAUGCACAAGUAGUGAUCAUACUUAGUGCAAAAUGAAGGCUAGCAAAAGAUUGGGAAGAGACCAACUAAGAAACGAAUAAUCUCAUAAGCAAGCAUUAAGCAUAAAUAACACCGAAUAAUGCACCAUAAGUAGGAUAUAAUUUCAUUGCAUGACUAUUGACUUCCGUACUUGCAUAGGGAAUCAGAAACCUUAACACCAAUAUUCUUACUAAAAUAUAAUUACUCAUCAAGAUGACUCACAUACCACAUCAUCAUAUCUCAAAACUAUUACUAAGAAUCAAUUUUAUUUUGUCCAAUGAUCUUCAUGAAAGUUUUUAUUAUAUCCUUCUUGGAUAUCUAUCACUUUGGGACUAAUUUUCAUGUAUUGCUUUUGACAAGCUCAAACAAAUAUAAGUGAAGAUCAUGAGCAUCAUAAAUUUUUCUUUCUCUCAAAUUAAUUUAAGUGAAGCAAGAGAGAAUUUCUUGAAAAUUUUACUAACUCUCAAAUAAAUCUAAGUGAAGCAAGAGAGCAUUUCUUCAAAAAUACUAAAGCACACCGUGCUCAAAAAGAUAUAAGUGAAGCACUAGAGCAAGUCCAUUGCUCAUAAAAAUUUAAGUGAAGCAUAGAGAGCAAUUCUAACAAGUCAUGACAUAAUUUUGGCUCUCUCAAAUAGGUGUUUCCAGCAAGGAUUGAUAAUUUAAAACACAAAAUAAAACAAUCAAAGACUCAUAUCAUACAAGACCCUCCAAGAAAAACACAUAUCAUGUGACGAAUAAAAAUAUUGUUUCAAGUAAAAUACCGAUGAUCGUUGGAAGAAAGCGGGGAUGCCAUUCGGGGGCAUCCCCAAGCUUAGUUGGUUGCUCAUUCUUGGACAAUAGAUUGGGAUGCCGGGGCAUCCCCAAGCUUAGGUUCUUCCAUCCUUCCUUCAUCCAUCGUAAUCGUAAGAUAACCCAAAACUUGAAAACUUCAAUCACACAAAACUCAACAAAACCUUCAUGAGAUGCAUUAGUGUAAGAAAAUAGUAAAUCACUACUAUAAGUACUGUAUCAAACCAAUUCAUAUUUUGUUUCUGUAUUAUAUCUACUGUAUUACAACUUUUCUAUGACAAAAACUCAUCAAAGAAAACCAUAGAGCCAUCAAAAUAAGCACACAACACAAAGAAAACAGAAUAUGUCAAAACAGAACAGUCUGUAGCAAUAUGACUAUUUCAAAUACUUCUAUGACUCCAAAAAUUCUGAAAAAUUGGGAAGACCCGAGAAAUUUGUAUAUUGAUCUACUGCAAGUGAAAUGGAUAUUUUAUUGCUCUCUGGUAAAAAAAUGAAAAUUAAUUUUGUGAGCGUAAAAGUUUCUGUUUUUUUAGCAAGAUCAAACAACUAUCACCCAAGAGGAUCCUAAAGGCUUUACUUGGAACAAAAACUAAUUAAAACACAAAAACACAAUCAUAACAGUAGCAUAAUUGUGCUAACACUCAAGAACAGGAAGCAAAAAGCAAAAAUAAAUUUUAUUCAUUGGGUUGCCUCCCAACAAGCGCUAUAGUUUUACGCCCUUAGCUAGGCAUAAAGCAAGGAUCUAAGUUUUGUCAUCUUUGGUCCGAGAUCCAUAAGAUGCCCUCAUGAUUGAUUCAUAAGGUGGAUUAAUUCCAGUUCUAGGAAAGUGUUCCAUACCCUUCCUCAAAGGAAAUUGGAACUUAAUAUUGCCUUUUUUCAUAUCAAUCACAGCACCGAUAGUGCGUAAAAAUGGUCUACCAAGAAUAAUUGGACAAGACGGAUUGCAAUUAAUAUCAAGAACAAUAAAAUCUAUGGGCACAUAAUUCCUAUUUUCAAGAAUAAGAACAUCAUUAAUUCUUCCCAUAGGCUUUUUAAUAGUAGAAUCCGCGAAGUGCAAAUUCUAAGAACACUCUUCAAGAUUAGUAAGACCAAACACAUCACAUAAAGGUUUCGGAAUUGUAGAAACACUAGCACCCAAGUCACACAAAGAAAAACACUCAUAAUUUUUAAUCUUGACUUUAAUAGUAGGUUCCCAUUCAUCAUGCAACUUUCUAAGAAUUGAAACUUCUAAUUCCAAUUUUUCUUCAAGAGCUUUCAUCAUAGCAUCAACAAUAUGUUUAGUAAAAGUUUUAUUUUGUUCAUAAGCAUGGGGUGAAUCUAUCAUGUAUUGCAACAAAGAAAUAAAAUCAAUCAAAGAGCAACUAUCAUAACUAAAGUCUUUGUAAUCCAAAAGCGUGGGUACAUCACUAGCUAAAGUUUUGACCUCUCCAAACCCACUUUCAUCAAUUUUCUCAACAAGAUUUUCACCCUCCGAAAUAUUGGACGCCUUCUACCUAAAGUUGACUCUUCUCCUGUCCCUUUUUCAUCAAUAUUAACUUUACUAAACAACGUAUCAAUAGAAGAAACACGAAUCAUUUUAAGAUCUUCAUCACUUUUGUGAAAGAAAUGACUAGAAAACACUUUUUCUAAAAAUUCUCUUUUAGCUCUAAGCAUAGCGGUUCUUUUCUUACUUUCAUCCAUAGAGACAUAAAGAGAUUUAAUUGAUUCAUCAACCUUAGGCACAAAAAAUUUCAUCUUGAGAUUUUCCACAUCAUGAGCAAUUCUAUCAACACUUCUAGACAAAUCAUCAAUCUUACUCAACUUUCCUUCUAUGGAAGUGUUGAAUUUUUUUGUGUAUUGAUAAAUUCUUUAAUAUUAUUCUCAAGAUCAGAGGUGUUUCUAUUAUUAUUAUAAGAUUGAUUUCAAUAGGAAUUACCAUAAUUAUUAGAGGAAUUAUUAGGAAAAGGCCUAGGAUUAAAAUUACCUCUAUAAGCAUUGUUGUUGAAAUUAUUGCAAGAGAUAAAAUUCACAUCUAUGGCAUCACUAUCUUGCUCAAUCAAAGUAGACAAAGGCAUAUCAUUAAGAUCAAUAGGAGCACUUCUACUAGCAACCAAAUUCACAAGAGCAUCAACUUUUUCACUCAAAGAAGAAAUUUCUUCAACCGAAUUAACGUUUUUACUAGUAGGAGUUCUUUCGGCAUGCCAUUGCGAAUAAUUUGCCAUAAUAUUAUCAAGCAAUUUGGUCGCUUCACCCAAAGUAAUUUCCAUAAAAGUACCACCUGCGACAGAAUCCAAAAGAUUACGAGAAACAAAAUUCAUCCACGCAUAAAUUUUUUGUAUGAUCAUCCAAAGAUUUAACCCAUGAGUUGGGCAAUUCCUUAGCAUCAUUUUCAUCCUUUCCCAAGAUUGUGCAACAUGCUCAUGUUCAAGUUGCUCGAAAUUCACGAUCUGGGUUCUAAGGGAAAUAAUUUUUGCGGCAGCAAAAUACUUAGUGAUAAAAGCAUCUUUGCACUUAUUCCAAGAAUCGAUACUAUUGUGAGGCAAACAAGAGAACCAAUUUUUUGCAGAAUCACGCAAAGAAAACGGAAAUAAUUUCAUCUUGACCACAUCUUUUUUCUCUUGCAUAUGCAUAAUUCUACGAAGGUAUUAAGAUGGGAGGCAUCAUCCUCAUUAGGAGUACCGGAAAGUUGGUCUUUCAUAACGAGAUUCAACAAAGCAGUAUUAAUAUCACAAGACUCCGCACUAGCGGCGGGAGGAGCAAUCGGAGUGCCAAUAAAAUCAUUGUUGUUGGUAUUUGAGAAAUCACAUAACUUGAUGUUAUCUUCAGUCAUGAUGACCACACAACAAGAUUGCACUAAAAAACGAAUCCGGUAAGAAAAUGGCGAAUGGAAAAGGAGAGGCGAAUAAAACGACAAAUUUUUGUAAAGUGGGGGAGAGGAAAAUGAGAGGCAGAUGGCAAAUAAUGUAAAUUGCGAGGAGAUGAGAUUUGUGAUUAGGAACCUGGUAUAUGUUGAAGAUCCUCCCCGGCAACGACGCCAAAAAUUCCUUUUGAUGUCGCUUGAAGCUACGUUGGUAUUUCCCCAAAGAGGAAGGGAUGAUGCAGCACAUCGGCGGUAUGUAUUUCCCUCAGAUAUGAAACAAGGUUAUCGAACCAGCAGGAGAACCCAGCAACACAACGUAAAUAGCCCCUGCACACAGAUAACAAAUCCUCGCAACCCGACGUGUUAAAGGGGUUGUCAAUCCCUUUCGGGUAACGGUGCCAGAAAUUGGUGCGUGACGGGAGAAAGUUGUAAUAGAUUAAAUAAAUAGAUCACAAAUAAAAUAAAGUGCAACAAAGUAUUUUGUAUUUUUGGUUUAAUAGAUCUAAAAAUAAAUGCAAGAGAAAAGUAGAUCGCAAAGGCAGAUAUAUGAGAAAGAAGACCGGGGGGCCGUAGGUUUCACUAAUGGCUUCUCUCAAGAAAAAUAGCAAACGGUGGGUAAACAAAUUACUGUUGGGCAAUCGAUAGAAGCUCAAAUAAUUAUGACGAUAUCCAGGCAAUGAUCAUUAUAUAGGCAUCACGUCCAAGAUUAGUAGACCGACUCCUGCCUACAUCUACUACUAUUACUCCAC